GAUGAACGCUGGCGGCGUGCCUAAUACAUGCAAGUCGAGCGAACAGACGAGGAGCUUGCUCCUUCGACGUUAGCGGCGGACGGGUGAGUAACACGUAGGUAACCUACCUAUAAGACUGGGAUAACUUCGGGAAACCGGAGCUAAUACCGGAUAAUAUUUCGAACCGCAUGGUUCGAUAGUGAAAGAUGGCUUUGCUAUCACUUAUAGAUGGACCUGCGCCGUAUUAGCUAGUUGGUAAUGUAACGGCUUACCAAGGCAACGAUACGUAGCCGACCUGAGAGGGUGAUCGGCCACACUGGAACUGAGACACGGUCCAGACUCCUACGGGAGGCAGCAGUAGGGAAUCUUCCGCAAUGGGCGAAAGCCUGACGGAGCAACGCCGCGUGAGUGAUGAAGGUCUUCGGAUCGUAAAACUCUGUUAUUAGGGAAGAACAAACGUGUAAGUAACUGUGCACGUCUUGACGGUACCUAAUCAGAAAGCCACGGCUAACUACGUG
rnacentral:rRNA from 1 species